AACAUUGGCUGCAGGGUCACUUUCACUAAUGGCUUUUCUUUUCCACAGGCAUCAGAUGACAUUAUUGACACAGGUGCCUUUUGUCCACCGCUGAGCUGGAGAAGAAAGACAAGCCGGGGGGCAGGGACGGAACAUCUUUUAUUGGACUUGACUGGCUAUUGUCCUACACGGUCAUCUAUGAUUCUCUCCUGACCCUGGAUCCCAGCUCUUUUCCACCUGGCUUCAUUGCACCUGUGGGCUGUAAGAGCCGGAGACAGGGAGGCACAUGGUGGGCUCCACACAACCAUCCCAAGACAACUCCAAACCAGACAGACAGCCAGGUAGAGUGACCAGAGGGCAAGUGUGAAAAAUCAGGACAGGUGGUGGGGGUUAACAGGUGCCUAUAUAAGAAAAAGCCCCCAAAAUAGGGACUGUCCCUAUAAAAUUGGGACAUCUGGUCACCCUACAGCCAGGUCCAGAUUCAGCUGGUCUGGGAAGGACACAUGGUGCUCGUGCGCGCCCAUGGCCUGAUGUGACAGAUACUAUGGACACAUGGAAUCACCAAAAUCUAUUGCAUCAACUUGAUGUUACAUGUAUCUUUAUUGGCUAGCGAUUAGAUUCCUAAUUCAAUGGGGGAGUUACAAGGUUUCCCUGGGGGGCCGUGGAAGAAUAAUGCCAAUCCCUAAGGCAAGUUACAAGUCUGGAAAAGUUUGGUCCUCGCAAAGUUGCAUAGAUACACUCAAAUGGCCUGGCAAACAAAGAACUGAAAACGGUAUAAAACCACCACCCUGACGCAGACAGUGGGGGGACUCUUAGAUUUGAGCUAAGGACCAACAUGAAACUGUGAUCAAGAGAGACAGACGCUGCAGAAAGGGUCUGAAGUAUUUUAAUCCCAAUGGGGAAGAUGUGCCACUGCCUGGUAAGCUAGACCUGCAAAUAAAUGCUUGGUUUCCUGGUA